UGUAAAUCCCUCCAUCUUUAAGCCUCAGC
rnacentral:piRNA from 1 species